UAAUUGGGUUAGACCAAAGGUUAGAUUAAAGAUGGACUUAAUUAGAGAAUUGACUAAAUCUAAUCAAUUGUUGUCUUAGAUUAUGUCAAGGAUUCUCUAGAUCAAUUAUAAUAGUUGUAGUUGGUCAAGUCUAUAUCUUUAACGAGAACCAAAUGGACUUGAUUCUUGGCUAAACGAUCUAGCACGAAUUGUUAGGUUGAUCUAAUCAAAACUAAUUAAAUCAGUUGGUGUCUAAGGUAAACC
rnacentral:lncRNA from 1 species